GAUGAACGCUGGCGGCGUGCCUAAUACAUGCAAGUCGAGCGAACAGACGAGGAGCUUGCCCCUCUGACGUUAGCGGCGGACGGGUGAGUAACACGUGGAUAACCUACCUAUAAGACUGGGAUAACUUCGGGAAACCGGAGCUAAUACCGGAUAAUAUAUUGAACCGCAUGGCUCAAUAGUGAAAGACGGUUUUGCUGUCACUUAUAGAUGGAUCCGCGCCGCAUUAGCUAGUUGGUAAGGUAACGGCUUACCAAGGCAACGAUGCGUAGCCGACCUGAGAGGGUGAUCGGCCACACUGGAACUGAGACACGGUCCAGACUCCUACGGGAGGCAGCAGUAGGGAAUCUUCCGCAAUGGGCGAAAGCCUGACGGAGCAACGCCGCGUGAGUGAUGAAGGUCUUCGGAUCGUAAAACUCUGUUAUUAGGGAAGAACAAAUGUGUAAGUAACUAUGCACGUCUUGACGGUACCUAAUCAGAAAGCCACGGCUAACUACGUG
rnacentral:rRNA from 1 species